GACGUAGGUGGCGAACGUUAUCCGGAAUCAUUGGGCGUAAAGGGUGCGUAGAUGGCAUAAUAAGUUAUUAGUGGGAAAUCGAGGCUCAACCUCGUGGAAGCUAGUAAUACUGUUUUGCUUGAGUGCAGAAGAGGUUAACGGAACUCCAUGUGGAGCGGUAAAAUGCGUAGAUAUAUGGAAGAACAUCAAUAACGGCGAAGGCAGUUAACUAUUCUGUUACUGACAUUGAGGCACGAAAGCGAUGGGAGGCAAAACGGG
rnacentral:rRNA from 1 species